rnacentral:rRNA from 1 species
AGCGAACGCUGGCGGCAGGCCUAACACAUGCAAGUCGAACGGACCCUUCGGGGUUAGUGGCGGACGGGUGAGUAACACGUGGGAACGUGCCCUUUGGUUCGGAAUAGCUCCUGGAAACGGGUGGUAAUGCUGAAUGUGCCCUUCGGGGGAAAGAUUUAUCGCCAUUGGAGCGGCCCGCGUCUGAUUAGCUAGUUGGUAGUGUAACGGACUACCAAGGCGACGAUCAGUAGCUGGUCUGAGAGGAUGAUCAGCCACAUUGGGACUGAGACACGGCCCAAACUCCUACGGGAGGCAGCAGUGGGGAACCUUGCGCAAUGGGCGAAGGCCUGAUCCAGUCAUGCCGCGUGAGUGAUGACGGCCUUAGGGUUGUAAAGCUCUUUCGACGGGGACGAUAAUGACGGUACCCGUAGAAGAAGCCCCGGCUAACUUCGUGCCAGCCGCCGCAGUAAGAC